GGGUCUUCCUGCUGGGAGUCCUUCGAUAAAACAGAAUGAAAUGGAGUUCAGUUCAGAAGCAAAGGAAAUCUUUAUUCUUGGAUCAGAGAAUGACGAGGUCCGAGCUCCCACUCUAGAGUAUGAGCUCUCCCGACAGGCUGUGGGAGGGGCUGCUUUAUAGGGCUCCAGUCUGCCGGGAGGGGGAGGGGUCAGAUUUCUCACUGGGCCGGUGCAGCUGUGCUGCUCGUGUGGUUCCGGAUCGCAGUGCCGGCAGGGCAGCUCGGCGUGGGGCCCGCCACCGCCAUCUUGAAUUGCAGUGUUGAGUGCAGCGCUUCUGCAGUCGGACAGCAGAGCCGAGUUGUUUCACACACAGGACUCUGGUCUGAAGCAAUGUGUGCAAGGCCUCUGCACGCGGCACCCUGUGAGCAAGUAAAACUAGACUAAAACAAAGGAAAAGAAAAGAAGGGAAGUUUGCAAUAUCCAUCAUUACUUACCCCACUGAGGAUGUGCUCACUUGUGGGAAAGCUGCGAAGAUCCUGCAAGUGCAUGGACACAAGAGGUCUGUAAAGUGCUUUCCUCUGUUGAGAAUCUACAACACACAGACUUUUCUGCCAGUGGCUGCUUGAGACUGAGAUAGCUUGGGCGUGAAGUCACCAUACCCUGGUCAGUGUGACUUUUGGUGACCAUCUCUCAGUACACCGGAAAGUAUUUCCAGAGACUGGAUGCCAUUUUGGAGUGUAAAGCCUUGGAAAUCUGUGGAAGAAGGUGUAGAGAGAUUGGAUUUGAGCAUCCAUCAUUGUUCUAUGGAAGGAGCAAGGAGGGGCAAGAUGGCGGAAGAGUAAGACGCGGAGAUCACCUUCCUCCCCACAGAUACAUGAGAAAUACAUCUACACGUGGAACUGCUCCUACAGAACACCCACUGAACGCUGGCAGAAGACGUCAGAC